GUCUGAAAAUUGCAUACCAGAAAAUCCCUGGCUGGACUGCAAGUGGCACAACAAAGAAUUGGGAUUCAAAACACAGUUAAUUCCUCCACACAAGUGGAACUUUAUUUGAUGGGAAAGAAAAAUAUAAUAACUAAGGAAGAGAGACUCUGCCGUCCCAAGAAUGGAUGGAAUGCCACACCAUAUCAUCUGUCACCCCAGGCACAUGUUUGCUCCGCUGGUGCCUGGAGCCGACCCUGUAUGAUUUCCUAACAAGCAUGAGAUUUCGUCUGCAAAACAAGACUUGCAGUUAUCAGACAACACAGUUACGAGGAG